rnacentral:rRNA from 1 species
GACGUAGGGGGCAAGCGUUGUCCGGAUUUAUUGGGCGUAAAGAGCUUGUAGGCGGUUUGUCGCGUCUGCUGUGAAAAUCCGGGGCUCAACCCCGGACUUGCAGUGGGUACGGGCAGACUAGAGUGUGGUAGGGGAGACUGGAAUUCCUGGUGUAGCGGUGAAAUGCGCAGAUAUCAGGAGGAACACCGAUGGCGAAGGCAGGUCUCUGGGCCACUACUGACGCUGAGAAGCGAAAGCGUGGGGAGCGAACAGG